rnacentral:sRNA from 1 species
GGUACCUGGCCAUGGGGCUACCAGCAAGGAUGUGCAAAGGAAGAACCGCUGCCCCUGCCCUCAGCUUCCUUAUGCCCGAGCCACUACUUAUCCGUGAAUAAGUUCUCUUUCUCUUUGGAAGAAGCCGAGGGCCUUAACAAAUCAGACUGACCUCUCUUGUGACAGGCAGCCUCGCCUGCCCUUGGAAACAAGCUGCCAGAAUGUGAGGGCCACAGAGACCCAAGAGAAGCCAGCACUGCUAGACUGAGGAACUUGUAAAUAUCUUCUGCUUUCUUGGUGAACAAGGACAGAGGCAAUUGCGUGUAUAUUGUGACUGUAGUUUGUGAAGAAAAUGCAACCGUUUGCUUCGACAGCUCCUCAAAUGUACUUGUUAAGUGUGAAUGUGCCUGCCUCAUUGCCUUGUGUUCCAAACACAGUACUGAAUGCGUUGUUUUUAAAUAAACCGUUUUGUUUUGCUUUGGGAAACA